GCGAGCGUUAAUCGGAAUUACUGGGCGUAAAGACGCAUGCAGGUGGUUUGUUUAAGUUCAGAUGUGAAAGACCCGGGGCGUCAACCUCGGAAUAGCAUUUGAAACUGGCAGACUAGAGUACUGUAGAGGGGGGUAGGAAGUUUCAGGUGUAGCGGUGAAAUGCGUAGAGAUCUGAAGGAAUACCGGUGGCGAAGGCGGCCCCCCUCGGACAGAUACUGACACUCAGAUGCGAAAGCGUGGGGAGCAAACAGGAUUAGAUACCCCUGGUAG
rnacentral:rRNA from 1 species